rnacentral:SRP_RNA from 1 species
UCGCACUAGUCGGGGAGAUAGCGGUGCCCUGUAACCCGCAAUCCGCUAUAGCGGGGAUGAAUUCCCACACUCGGGCAAGCUUUGAGUGCCGUCCGGACCAUGUAAGCGGCGUUGAUGGAACGGUCUUGCGCAACGAGAAACCGUGAACCAUGUCAGGUGGGGAACCAAGCAGCAUUAAGCGGACCUUUUUGUGUGCCGCGAGGUUGCUGUUCCUGAGCUGGCUGCAUGGAUACCGGGUAUUCGGCUUGUUCAAAUGUGGGUGUGCGA